rnacentral:rRNA from 1 species
GACGAACGCUGGCGGCGUGCCUAAUACAUGCCAGUUGAGCGCUGAAGGUUGGUACUUGUACCAACUGGAUGAGCAGCGAACGGGUGAGUAACGCGUGGGGAAUCUGCCUUUGAGCGGGGGACAACAUUUGGAAACGAAUGCUAAUACCGCAUAAAAACUUUAAACACAAGUUUUAAGUUUGAAAGAUGCAAUUGCAUCACUCAAAGAUGAUCCCGCGUUGUAUUAGCUAGUUGGUGAGGUAAAGGCUCACCAAGGCGAUGAUACAUAGCCGACCUGAGAGGGUGAUAGGCCACAUUGGGACUGAGACACGGCCCAAACUCCUACGGGAGGCAGCAGUAGGGAAUCUUCGGCAAUGGACGAAAGUCUGACCGAGCAACGCCGCGUGAGUGAAGAAGGUUUUCGGAUCGUAAAACUCUGUUGGUAGAGAAGAACGUUGGUGAGAGUGGAAAGCUCAUCAAGUGACGGUAACUACCCAGAAAGGGACGGCUAACUACGUG